GACGAACGCUGGCGGCGCGCUUAACACAUGCAAGUCGAACGGUAACAGGGAGCUUGCUCCGCUGACGAGUGGCGAACGGGUGAGUAAUGCGUCGGAACGUGCCGAGUAGUGGGGGAUAACGCAUCGAAAGGUGUGCUAAUACCGCAUACGUACUGAGGUAGAAAGUGGGGGACCUUCGGGCCUCACGCUAUUCGAGCGGCCGACGUCUGAUUAGCUAGUUGGUGAGGUAAAGGCUCACCAAGGCGACGAUCAGUAGCGGGUCUGAGAGGAUGAUCCGCCACACUGGGACUGAGACGCGGCCCAGACUCCUACGGGAGGCAGCAGUGGGGAAUUUUGGACAAUGGGCGCAAGCCUGAUCCAGCCAUGCCGCGUGUCUGAAGAAGGCCUUCGGGUUGUAAAGCUCUUUUGUCCGGAACGAAACGGUUGAGGCUAAUACUCUCGACUACUGACGGUACCGGAAGAAUAAGCACCGGCUAACUACGUGCCAGCAGCCGCGGUAACAC
rnacentral:rRNA from 1 species